GGUCCUACGGGAGGCAGCAGUGGGAAUAUUGCACAAUGGGGGAAACCCUGAUGCAGCGACGCCGCGUGAGUGAAGAAGUAUUUCGGUAUGUAAAGCUCUAUCAGCAGGAACGAGACAAGACGGUACCUGACUAAGAAGCCCCGGCUAACUACGUGCCAGCAGCCGCGGUAAUACGUAGGGGGCGAGCGUUGUCCGGAAUCACUGGGCGUAAAGGGCGCGUAGGCGGUAAUAUAAGUCAGAUGUGAAAGGUGGGGGCUCAACCCCUAGAGUGCAACUGAUACUGUAUAACUUGAGUGUGAGAGAGG
rnacentral:rRNA from 1 species